GACGAACGCUGGCGGCGUGCCUAAUACAUGCAAGUAGAACGCUGAAGGAGGAGCUUGCUUCUCUGGAUGAGUUGCGAACGGGUGAGUAACGCGUAGGUAACCUGCCUGGUAGCGGGGGAUAACUAUUGGAAACGAUAGCUAGUACCGCAUAAUAGUAGAUGUUGCAUGACAUUUGCUUAAAAGGUGCAAUUGCAUCACUACCAGAUGGACCUGCGUUGUAUUAGCUAGUUGGUGAGGUAACGGCUCACCAAGGCAACGAUACAUAGCCGACCUGAGAGGGUGAUCGGCCACACUGGGACUGAGACACGGCCCAGACUCCUACGGGAGGCAGCAGUAGGGAAUCUUCGGCAAUGGACGGAAGUCUGACCGAGCAACGCCGCGUGAGUGAAGAAGGUUUUCGGAUCGUAAAGCUCUGUUGUAAGAGAAGAACGAGUGUGAGAGUGGAAAGUUCACACUGUGACGGUAUCUUACCAGAAAGGGACGGCUAACUACGUG
rnacentral:rRNA from 1 species